GUUGUGCAAAGCGUGCUCGAGGGAGGUUCAGUGUGGCCGGAAUUCGAUGGCGUCGACGACUCCUUGAGGUUGAAGACGACCUCGUCCCGCACGAAGGAGAGGCGCCCGGCUCGAGACCAUUGGCGCAGGCGACGUAGGGGAGCAGGACGGAGCUGGCGGGAACUGCGGAUGGAUGCGGGGGCGUCGGUGGCCGUGGUGGAGCGCGGUGGCUGACGACGAUGGCUGCGGGUGGGGACGGAUCUGAGCGAGGGAGACGAGGGAGAGAGUGGGGGAGGAGCGAGAGGCGGAUGCGGGAGAAAUAUCUGGAGGGGGGCCUCGGUGGAGGCCUUAUCCUCUCCGAGCGUUGCCGACGAGGUGGUCGGGGGCAGCCAUGCCCCUGUAGCGACCUGAGACCGAUGAACAGGGAGGUGGGGAGAGCGACCGGGGGCUUCGUGCCCAGUUGGGCCGGCCCAGGGGAGGGGUUUUCUUUUGUAUUAGCUAUUUUGUUUUUGUUUUAUUUAUUUCCUCUUUUCUGUUUUCUUUUAUUGUUUUAUUUUUAGUUUCUCUCUUAUUUUAGUUUUACAAAUUAUAAAAGUAGCCCCUAAACUAGUGUUCAUAAAUAUGCUAUGACCCCAAACAUUUUGGCACCUUAAAUAAAGUAUACUUCAUUUAUUAUUAUUUUAAAUGCAUUUUAAAUAAUUGUUUUAUCAUUGUUAUAAUUAAUUUAGUGCAUUGGAACAUUUUAUAAAUAGAUGAUUUCUUAACCAAUAUUACUUUCGAUUUAUUUGCCACGUUUCGAACACUUUAGUUUUCACUUUUGAAAACUUUAAUUGUUUGACUUGAUUUUAAAUUUGAAUUUUGACGGGAUUUGGAAUCAUCGCAAGAUUAACAACAGUAAUCGUGGUGAUGUGGCAUCAUUAGUGAAGGGUUACUAUAGUUUGAAUAUCCGAGCGUCACAAUCCUCCUCCACUACAAGAAAUCGCGUCCCGAGAUUUAAGAGGUGUGUAAGGGCGAAAGAUCUGGUUACGAAAUUCUAACGAAUGUUCUCGAUCUUGGUUGCUCUUCUCGAAGAGGUUGAUCCAUUACGUGGAUGUAUUCAUUACUCUGCUUCAGGUCAACAUGAUGAAGUCAUCAUCCUUUUCUUCAAGAACUCCAACGUACUUACGAAAAGUUAAGGGGCAACUUGGCUACGUUAGGAUGCUUAUGAGGGAAACAAUCUGGGGGUUAACCCAUGAAUGAGCAUAAGACUAACUCUCGAGUUGAACAUAUAAAAUACAUCGAGAGUAAGGUACAAUGAGAGGGUCCAAGCGGAUAGGUAGCUGCUCAAAGUCUGAACCAUAGUGAGAAAGGGUCCAGAGCAGCGAGAGUAAGUAUUGCGUCUGAUACCAGAAUGGAGCACUAGGAAGGUGGCUCAUGAAUUACCUACGAAACCAAGAGCAAGGGAUAACUGUGUUAACAAGGCAUACAGGAGAGUCAGGUUUCGAUCCUGUGGAACUGUGCGUUAUGGGCCCACCAUGUGGUUAAAAGUAGGAAGGUCGGUGACAUCUUGCACGAUCAUGUAAGCAAGGCAUGCAUGUCAGAGGAUAGUCUGUCGGUCAUGUCGGCAACACAUCGGUACCAAGGGCGAGGGACGGAGAGAACCAUUUUCCUGCUCGUUGAACAAGGUGGACCAGUAGGCAAGAUUCUCGUCCAUCGGUGGUUACCAGAAUGCCAUCAACAAAAGUAACAGGGUCUUUCUAUCAGAGUGGUACAACGAGGUGUUUACAUAAGCAGGGAUAUAUUACCGCUUAUACAAUAUAGAUCACAAGAAGGUUUAAACAAACCAAUGGAAAUGAAAAGUGAUUAUCAGGUUUAAAUAGAACAAUGGAAAGGAAAAUGUAUUUAAACACAUAUUUCAAGGGUAUAUUCUUCCCAAGGACAAGCAGAACAUAAUCCAUGACAGGAUAUAAUGUAGAAAACUCUUUAGGUAGGGGAGAGAAUUUUCAUGACAUUACCCGUACAACGGUGUUUGGAUAAUUGAGCAGGAAACAUUUAACAUUAGGCUUUCAAUGUUCUUGUUGAAAAUUGGAGUACCAUAUAUAUGCUUCGAGAUAGCAUUGACAUGGUCUUUAGGCAAAGGUCAGACUUUGGAAACACAAAGGAUCCAUCAAGAAUAACUAGUAGAAUAAGUCUUACAAUUUCCUCAUGGAAGAAUGGAUAACCUUGCUGAAAAGGAAUCUAUAACCAUAGGGCCUCCAGCCAGCUGGGCUAAGAACGACAUCCUUGAUAUAAAAGAUGGUAAUACUCCAAGGUAAAGAAGAACAAAUGUUGGAUAGCAAGGAACUCAAGGUAUAACACAGAACACGAACAAGUUUGUGUUGGAGGGAAGGCAAUAAAGUUGUCGAUGAUAACACAAUUCAUCGAGGGGCAAGGAUGGUAUUUCUCAUCAUGAAUUCAAUUGAUAUCCUGGAAGAACUCAAAAUGUUGAUGAUGAUCAUGAAAAAAAUUUGUCGAGAGGUUUCAUGAAGAUGUAAUCGGUCGGCGAUGACAUCAAGUCAAAUGAAUGAUGAAGCGAAAGGUUGUUAUUGGAACCAUGGGUAUGACACAAACUUGAAAUCAAGUUUGCUGUUCGAGGAGAAUUGAUUUGACGAGGAAGAUCGACGUAAGCUUAGCUCAUCAUCGAAAAUUUGUGCUCCGGGAAGAAGGACCAGGUAGCACAGUUAAGAGCAGCACGAUAAGGAUAUAGCCGAUCAAGAAAGGAAUGACUUAAAGGAUUAUUAAACUCAUACGCAACAAAAAUAUUUAGGGUUAUUGAAUCGGAGUGCGGACUCGAUUCACUAUUCGGUGUUCUCGAUUGAUGACAACCCAGAACCUAGGAACAAUUGGAUCCGGUGAGUGAUAAUAGUUGAUGAAAAACCCAUAAGAAGUUAUGAUGUCCCAUGAUAUUAUCGAGGUACCAUGGUGUAAUACUCGAUGGAAGAUUAAAGUACAGGUUGGACUGGUGUAUUGAUCCACAGAAGACAAGUGCUUAAACUUGCCCGUGAAAUGGGGUCAAAGAAGAACAUAUGGUCGAAACCACGAUUGCAAAAGGCCGGAUCCUAGAUAUAAGAACUUAUACCAAGGGAAAAAUUUAAUUUAAGAGAAGCUUUAAUGAUAAGAUCUACAUCGUGUCCAUGGGCAUGAACACAAAGUUCAAGGUCGACUCCCACUUCUUCAAUGCAUAACCUUUCAUUCACUGCUCUAGAUAAAAAUGAUUUCAGUGUCAAAACCUACCUGAUGAAUUACCAAAGGAGUAUGACCCGUGAAAACUUUUGGGUUCACAUAGAUUAAGAAAAGCAUAGGUUCAACCCAUCAGGGUAUCGUGGAAUCAUAUACCACAAGCUUCAUUCGUAAAUACCACCAGCUCGAAAACAGAGCAUGGUUGAGAAAAACAGAGGAUACAAUUAACCAAAAGCAUUAUGUAUCCGAGGAAAGGCUAACAAGGUUAUUGAAUAAGGAGGAUACUAUCGAAUAAUAAUCCAAUAAAGGAUCUGACGGUCCAUAGCGGAGUUGAUGUGAGCAUCGGCACACAAUCAGUUGAAGAAAGGAUGCAAGGGCAUCAGAUUAUAGAACACCUGAAUGAUUCGAUGCUUAGUUAUCAAAGAAAUUAUGAUUCCCAAAUAGAAGGAUCAGAAGCAGACGCUUUGAUCAAGGGUGGAUAAGUUCAAUAGACCUAAGGGUACAAUUGACGGCAACAGAUUGGUCGAGAACAAGCUCAUGUUCAAAAAUGACGUCUGAGCCAAAAAGAUAAUUUAAAAGGAUCAACUGAUAAUAGCGUGCAUUCGCACUCAUGUUGAAUCAAUAGGAUCAAAAUUUACGGUGUCUAAGGAUACUAACGAACAUUGCCAGACAUAUGGAGAGCAUCCAUAAUGCAAGUAGACAAGUAUUGCAGAGCAAUAAGCUACUAAGGAUCCUUGGAGGAUCAAAUAGUAUUUCGAAGACCAUUGUGAAACACAUGAACAACUGGGGGGUGAACGGAUACUCAAUAAGUGCGAGAAUUAUCCAUAGGGGUAUUCAGGUGACAAAGAACAGCAAGGCAGUAAGCUCAAAGGAUUAUUGAAACAACGUCAAGUAUUUCGGGGUAUCUUGUAAUAACAAAACCAACUGGGGAUGAAUGUAAGAAUAAUAACUGCAAAUAGUUAUCCAUAAGGGUUGACGGUGGAAGGGGAAUUGCAAACGCGAUCAACACAAGUUCUCGGGUUAACAGCGGAGAGUAUCUUCAGGGUCUUCACGUACAGCGGACGGUCAUCAGUAAUAAGGGGCUCUCCGGGUGAAAGUGAUAACGAGAUCCUAAUGUUAGAUUUAGCAAGAUUCCUUUAACCCGAAUAGAAGAGAGUUUAGAGUCCCAGAGUAAGGAUCGAGGAGUAAAAGAUCCUAAUACCACCGAGAUGGCGACGUGGGCCCGUAAGGCACACAACCAUGUUAGUAAAAGUUUUUGAAAUGUCUAGACUCAACUUAGGCCAAGGAGUGUGAAAGGGGGAUUCCUACAGGCAGUCGGCUCUGAUACCAACUUGUGACACCCCCGAUUUGACCAUACACUAAUCAUACACGCAAAUGUGUACGAUCAAGAUCAAGGACUCACGGGAAGAUAUCACAACACAACUCUAGACACAAAUUAAGAUAAUACAAGCUUUAUAUUACAAGCCAGGGGCCUCGAAGGCUCGAAUACAAGAGCUGAUCAAAGAUGAGUCAGCGGAAGCAACAAUAUCUGAGUACAGACAUAAGUUAAACAAGUUUGCCUUAAGAAGGCUAACAUAAACUGGGAUACAGAUCAAAAGAGGCGCAUGCCUCCUGCCUGGGAUCCUGCUAAACUACUCCUGGUCGCCGUCAGCGGGCUGCACGUAGUAGUAGGCACCUCCCGAGUAGUAGUAGUCGUCAUCAACGGUGGCGUCUGGCUCCUGGACUCCAGCAUCUGGUUGCGACAACCAGAAAGAUAGGAAAGGGGGAAAAAGGAGGAGAAAGCAACCAUGAGUACUCAUCCAAAGUACUCGCAAGCAAGGAUCUACACUACAUAUGCAUGGGUAUCAAAUGGAAUAAGGGUAUCAUAUGUGGACUGAACUGCAGAAUGCCAGAAUAAGAGGGGGAUAACUAAUCCUGUCGAAGACUACGCUUCUGGCCACCUCCAUCUUGCAGCAUGUAGGAGAGAGUAGAUGGUAAGUUCACCAAGUAGCAACAAGUAGCAUCGUAUAGCAUAAUCCUAACCGAUGAUCCUCCCCUCGUCGCCCUGUGAGAGAGCGAUCACCGGUUGUAUCUGGCACUUGAAAGGAUGUGUUUUAUUAAGUAUCCGGUUCUAGUUGUCAUAAGGUCAAGGUACAACUCCAAGUCGUCCUGUUACCGAAGAUCACGGCUAUUCGAAUAGAUUAACUUCCCUGCAAGGGUGCACCACAUAACCCAACACGCUCGAUCCCAUUUGGCCGGACACACUUUCCUGGGUCAUGCCCGGCCUCGGAAGAUCAACACGUUGCAGCCCUACCUAGGCACAACAGAGAGGUCAGCACGCCGGUCUAAAUCCUAUGGCGCAGGGGUCUGGGCCCAUCGCCCAUUGCACACCUGCACGUUGCGUACGUGGCCGGAAGCAGAACUAGCCCCCUUAAUACAAGAGCAGGCUUAUGGUCCAAUCCGGCGCGCGCCACUUAGUCGCUGACGUCACGAAGGUUUCGGCUGAUACCACAACAUCGAGUGCCCAUAACUGUCCCUGCGUAGAUGGUUAGUGCGUAUAGGCCAGUAGCCAGACUCAGAUCAAAUACCAAGAUCUCGUUAAACGUGUUAAGUAUCCGCGAACACCGACCAGGGCCAGGUCCACCUCUCUCCUAGGUGGUCUCAACCUGCCCUGUCGCUCCGCCACAAAGUAACAGUCGGGGGCCGUCGGGAACCCAGGCCCACCUCUACCUAGAUGGAGCCACCUGCCCCUUCAGCCCCCAUCUCCAAACAGUAUCACCAGUAAUGUAACAGUGUAAAGUAUAUAGCAUAUGCCCGUGAUCACCUCCCGAAGUGAUCACGGCCCAGUAGUAUAGCAUGGCAGACAGACAAGAAUGUAGGGCCACUGAUGGUAAACUAGCAUCCUAUACUAAGCAUUUAGGAUUGCAGGUAAAGGUAACAAUAGUAGUAGCAAGGACAGACUAUGCAUCAGGAUAGGAUAACGGAAAGCAGUAACAUGCUACACUACUCUAAUGCAAGCAGUAUAGAGGAGAGUAGGCGAUAUCUGGUGAUCAAGGGGAGGGGGGCUUGCCUGGUUGCUCUGGCAAGAGAGAGGGGUCGUCAACACCGUAGUCGAACUAGGGGUCACCGGCAGCCUCGGGGUGUCUACCGGAAAGAAGUAAUGGAGGGCGAACACAAUAAAUAACAGAGCAAACAAAGUAACACAAAACGUAAUGUGGCAAUUCGCGGUGCUAGAGGUGACCUAACACAGUACUAGGUGAUACCGGUGAAGAGGGAAACAUCAGGGAAAAUAUCCCCGGUGUUUCGCGUUUUUGGACAGAUGAAUCGAAGGGAAAAGUUCCAUGUUCAUCAUGCUUGAGGUGUGUGGUAGGCAAAUGAGUGGCAUAUUUGGAUUCGUCUAAUUUUUCUGAUCAUCUUUCAUAUAUAAACUAUUCCAAUCCGAGUUAUGGAUUAUUUUCUAUGGAUUUUCAAAGUUUAUUCAAUUUUCUAAAAAUUUUGCAUUUAUUUAAUCGGAUUGACCAAGUCAAUUUGACUGGUCAAAAGGGGAGAUGGUGGCCCACAUGUCAUAAGCUAUACCUAAACAAAUAACUAAAACUAGCUUAAAUAAAUGCAGGUCCACAUGUAAUAGGCUUAAACUAAUUAAUUAACCAACUAAUCUAAACUAAAUUAGUUUAGACCUAAUUAUACUAGGCCGGCCACACACGGCUGUGGCACAGCCCACGCGCACACAGCGCACACACACAAAGCUAGGGAGUAACUCUAUUCCUUUUAACACAAGAUAGAAUUUUGUGAUUUUUGUAGGAUUUAAUCCAUGCAUUAUCUGAAGCAGGUCCAAUGGAACAAAAUGAAGCUUAUUACGUCUACUUUCUGUUCAUAUAAUUUUUACCCAUGUUAGGAUUUGUCUUAUCGCUGUUUAGUGGCAGUUUAGAAGGCUAGUCAUUGUAGAAAUACAAAAGCUAGCUACUGCUACAGUAACUGAAUGUUACUGUAGCAGUGCAGCAUAGCAGCAGGAGCAGCAAAGCAGCAGCGAAGCAAGCGGCAUGCAUACGGCCACGCGUGCUGGGCGCAAGGCGGGACGGUGAGACCAGGGGCAGGGCGAGGGGAGCGGGCACGCCGGUCGCGGCAACGGCGAGCGCAUGGCGGUGCUGCAGGCGGGCAGGCAAGUAGCGCGUGUGUGCGCGUGAUGUAGGGCAGUAGCAGCGAUGGCGGGCAGCAGGUAGCAGAGAAGAAGCAAUCGCAACGCAGUAACAGCAGGCAGCCAAGAGCAGCAGCAAAGAGUGUCAGCAGCGGGCGUGCAGGUUACAGGGGGGCUACGGCUGCGGUGAGCCCGAGUUCGGGCAGCGAAGCAGCCGGGCGGAGCUCGCGCGGCUGGGCGCGCGUGAGGCAUAGUCAGGGCGGCGAGCGCGCGCAGGCGGGCAGCACAGCGGCCAGUGGCAAGCAGCAGGAAGAACGGCGAGGCGACGGGCGGACGCGUGGUCAUGGGCGGUAGGGUAGCGGGCGUGGAUGUGUUGGUGCUCGGGGUAGUGCGAGGCCAAGGAGGGGGUGGUGCGGGGCGCGGCCCGACGCGAGGUGACCGCGACGCGCGUGGAGGCAGGAUGCGGACGGUCGUGACGACAGUGAUCAUGGCGGCGGCGAGUUUCUGCCACGGUGGAUCGAGAGACGGAGUACGCGAACGAGCACGGAGUGAGGGGGAAUGGAAGAGAGGCUCACCGCGAGCCCGUAGUUGUGCAAAGCGUGCUCGAGGGAGGCUCAGUGUGGCCGGAAUUCGAUGGCGGCGACGACUCCUUGAGGUUGAAGACGACCUCGUCCCGCACGAAGGAGAGGCGCCCGGCUCGAGACCGUUGGCGCAGGCGACGUAGGGGAGCAGGACGGAGCUGGCGGGAACUGCGGAUGGAUGCGGGGGCGUCGGUGGCCGCGGUGGAGCGUGGUGGCUGACGACGAUGGCUGCGGGUGCGGACGGAUCUGAGCGAGGGAGACGAGGGAGAGAGUGGGGGAGGAGCGAGAGGCGGAUGCGGGAGAAAUAUCUAGAGGGGGGCC
rnacentral:lncRNA from 1 species